AAGUCGUAACAAGGUAACCGUAGGUGAACCUGCGGUUGGAUCAUUAGUAAAAAUUAUAAAAUAUUUAUUGGAGGAUAGUUUUCUGUCUUUACCUUUUUUUCCCUUUUGGGGGAAAAAUAGAAAAAGUAGGAACAGUUCAGUUCUUCUGAUAAACGCGUAAUGCGCGAACACAUUUGUGCACUUAUUAUGUUUUUGGUGGUUUAAGGUGGCUAAAGUCUAAAGUGCUGUAGCUGUCGCCAUCAACAGGGUUCCUGUGAAAGGGUCAAUCCGCAUAUUAAAUUUUAACCUGUUAUGUCUAUUUUUUUAUUGUCUUAAAUUUUAAACUGAGAUGGAAUAUUUUUUCUGGCUUUUAAACCAGAAAGUAUUUUUCCAUUAAGGUUGGUUCCUGUGGGAUAUAUAAUUACAACCUUUAACAAUGGAUCUCUUGGCUCUC
rnacentral:misc_RNA from 1 species